rnacentral:rRNA from 1 species
GUGCCUACGGGGGGCAGCAGUGAGGAAUAUUGGUCAAUGGGCGAGAGCCUGAACCAGCCAAGUCGCGUGAAGGAUGACGGCCCUACGGGUUGUAAACUUCUUUUGUCAGGGAGCAAUUGGGUCCACGCGUGGGCUUAGCGAGAGUACCUGAAGAAAAAGCAUCGGCUAACUCCGUGCCAGCAGCCGCGGUAAUACGGAGGAUGCGAGCGUUAUCCGGAUUUAUUGGGUUUAAAGGGUGCGCAGGCGGGAGAUCAAGUCAGCGGUAAAAUGUCGGGGCUCACCCCCGGCCGGCCGUGGAAACUGGG